rnacentral:rRNA from 1 species
GGUCAAGCGAACAAGUGCAUGUGGUGGAUGCCUUGGCGAUCACAGGCGAUGAAGGACGCGGUAGCCUGCGAAAAGCCCCGGGGAGCUGGCAAACAAGCUUUGAUCCGGGGAUGUCCGAAUGGGGAAACCCACUCCGUAUGGAGUAUCCAUGACUGAAUACAUAGGUCAUGUGAAGCGAACGCGGUGAACUGAAACAUCUAAGUAACCGCAGGAAAAGAAAUCAACCGAGAUUCCCAAAGUAGUGGCGAGCGAAAUGGGAUGAGCCUUGUACUCUUUAUU